AGGGGUAUAGCUCAGUGCUAGAGCACAUGCUUAGCAUGCAAGAGGUCCUGGGUUCAACCCCCAGUACCUCCA
rnacentral:tRNA from 1 species